rnacentral:rRNA from 1 species
GAUGAACGCUGGCGGCGUGCUUAACACAUGCAAGUCGAACGAUGAAGCCCAGCUUGCUGGGUGGAUUAGUGGCGAACGGUUGAGUAACACGUGAGUAACCUGCCCUUAACUCUGGGAUAAGCCUGGGAAACUGGGUCUAAUACCGUAUAGGAGCGCCUACCGCAUGGUGGGUGUUGGAAAGAUUUAUCGGUUUUGGAUGGACUCGCGGCCUAUCAGCUUGUUGGUGAGGUAAUGGCUCACCAAGGCGACGACGGGUAGCCGGCCUGAUAGGGUGACCGGCCACACUGGAACUGAGAGACGGCCCAGAAUCCUAAGGGGGGCAGCAGUGGGGACUAUUGCACAAUGGGCGAAAGCCUUAUGCAGCGACGGGGCGUGAGGGAUGACGGCCUUCGGGAUGUAAACCUCUAUCAGUAGGGAAGAAGCGAAAGUGAAGGUACCUGCAGAAGAAGCACCGGCUAACUACGUG